rnacentral:rRNA from 1 species
AUACGGAGGUGGCUAGCGUUGUUCGGAAUUACUGGGCGUAAAGCGUACGCAGGCGGAUAUUUAAGUUAGAGGUGAAAUCCCAGGGCUCAACCCUGGAACUGCCUUUAAAACUGGGUAUCUAGAGUUAUGGAGAGGUAAGUGGAAUUCCUAGUGUAGAGGUGAAAUUCGUAGAUAUUAGGAGGAACACCAGAGGCGAAGGCGGCUUGCUGGACAUAUACUGACGCUGAGGUACGAAAGUGUGGGGAGCGAACGGGAUUAGAAACCCUUGUAGUCC